UACGGGGGGGGCAAGCGUUGUUCGGAAUUACUGGGCGUAAAGGGUGCGUAGGCGGUCCGCUAAGUUGGAUGUGAAAACUCUGGGCUUAACCCAGAGCCUGCAUUCAAAACUGACGGGCUAGAGUUCUGGAGGGGGUAGCGGAAUUCCUGGUGUAGCGGUGAAAUGCGUAGAUAUCAGGAGGAACACCGAUGGCGAAGGCAGGUCUCUGGGCCACUACUGACGCUGAGAAGCGAAAGCAUGGGGAGCGAACAGG
rnacentral:rRNA from 1 species